rnacentral:rRNA from 1 species
UACGAAGGGGGCUAGCGUUGUUCGGAAUUACUGGGCGUAAAGCGUGCGCAGGCGGCUUCUCAAGUCAGGGGUGAAAGCCCAGAGCUCAACUCUGGAAUUGCCUUUGAGACUGAGUGGCUUGAGUACGAGAGAGGUGAGUGGAAUUCCCAGUGUAGAGGUGAAAUUCGUAGAUAUUCGCAAGAACACCAGAGGCGAAGGCGGCGACCUGGACAGAUACUGACACUCAACUACGAAAGCGUGGGGAGCAAACAGG